rnacentral:rRNA from 1 species
AACGCUGGCGGCGUGCCUCAGACAUGCAAGUCGAACGCGAAAGGAGGUCUUCGGAUCUUGAGUAGAGUGGCGCACGGGUGAGUAACACGUAGGUAAUCUACCUUCGGGUGGGGAAUAACCCAGGGAAACUUGGGCUAACACCGCAUAAUGCAGCGGCACCACAUGGUGACAGUUGUUAAAGCGGGGGAUCUUAGGACCUCGCGCCUGAAGAGGAGCCUGCGGCGGAUUAGCUAGUUGGUGAGGUAAUGGCUCACCAAGGUAACGAUCCGUAGCCGGCCUGAGAGGGCGGUCGGCCACACUGACACUGACAUACGGGUCAGACUCCUACGGGAGGCAGCAGUCGGGAAUUUUGGGCAAUGGGCGAAAGCCUGACCCAGCAACGCCGCGUGAAGGAUGAAAUCCCUCGGGAUGUAAACUUCGCAAGAAUGGAAAGAAUAAGUGAGCGCUAACACCGCUCGUGAUGACGGUACCAUUUGUAAGCUCCGGCUAACUCCGUGCCAGCAGCCGCGGUAAUACGGGGGGAGCAAGCGUUGUUCGGAUUUACUGGGCGUAAAGGGCGCGUAGGCGGCCACUGCAAGUCAGUUGUGAAAUCUCCGGGCUUAACUCGGAAAGGUCAACUGAUACUGCAGGGCUAGAGUGCGGAAGGGGCAACUGGAAUUCUCGGUGUAGCGGUGAAAUGCGUAGAUAUCGAGAGGAACACCUGCGGCGAAGGCGGGUUGCUGGGCCGACACUGACGCUGAUGCGCGAAAGCCAGGGGAGCGAACGG